GUCGAUGGGAACCACGUUAAUAUUCGUGGGCCUGGAGGUGUGUGACGAUGGCGUAAAUUGUCAGGGCUUAUUGGAUUGCUCCUGGCAGUGAAGUUGUCCCAGGAAAUAGCCCCUCCGUAUAGACCGUACCCUAAACCGACACAGGUGGAAUGGUAGAGUAUACCAAGGCGUUUGAGAGAAGUAUCCUGAAUGAACUCGGCAAAUUGCC
rnacentral:rRNA from 14 species